rnacentral:rRNA from 1 species
UACGUAGGGCGCAAGCGUUAUCCGGAAUUAUUGGGCGUAAAGAGCUCGUAGGCGGUUUGUCGCGUCUGUCGUGAAAGUCCGGGGCUCAACUCCGGAUCUGCGGUGGGUACGGGCAGACUAGAGUGAUGUAGGGGAGACUGGAAUUCCUGGUGUAGCGGUGAAAUGCGCAGAUAUCAGGAGGAACACCGGUGGCGAAGGCGGGUCUCUGGGCCGUAACUGACGCUGAGGAGCGAAAGCAUGGGGAGCGAACAGG